AUUGGUUCCAGGUGUGAAUGGAACAAUAUGGGGAUCAGUGGGAAAAUGGGCUUGCCCCCUGCUGAUAACCUGAAUGGCACGCGUAAAUGUGUAAGGUUUUGCUCACUUAGUGAUCAAGGGAUGGAAUGUGAUAAUUGUGAUAAAAUCCAAUUAACUAAUUAAGAAUGAUUGAUCACUAAUGAGCAAAUUAAUCUAUUAUAGAUAGUUAAGAUGGCACUUGGCUUAAAC